GUCUUAUUGAUAAUAAUUUUAAGUCAAUCUGCCCAAUGAAUUUAUUAAAUGGCUGCAGUAUAAUUAACUGUACAAAGGUAGCAUAAUCAAUUGAUUUUUAAAUGAAAUCUGGAAUGAAAGGAUUAAUGAAAUAUAUACUGUCUCAAAUUUAUAAAAUGAAUUUAAAUUUUUAAUAAAAAUGUUAAAAUUUUUUUAUGGGACGAUAAGACCCUAUAGAAUUUUAUAUAAAUUUAUUUUUAUAAUUAAUAUAAUUAUUAAAUUUAUAUUUAAUUGGGAGGAUUAUUAAAUUUAAAAAACUUUAAUUUUUAAAAACUUAAAUUAAAGAAAAUUUUAUGAUCUUAAAUUUAAAAUUAAUAGAGUAAAUUACCUUAGGGAUAACAGCGUUAUAUUUUUUUAUAGAUCAUAUAGAAAAAAAUGAUUGCGACCUCGAUGUUGAAUUANGAUANAUUUUUANUGAAGAAGUUAAAUAAUUAAGUCUGUUCGACUUUUAAAAUCUUACAUGAUUUGAGUUCAAAUCGACGUAAGU
rnacentral:rRNA from 1 species